rnacentral:rRNA from 1 species
GAUGAACGCUGGCGGCGUGCUUAACACAUGCAAGUCGAACGAAGCACUGUUUCACUUUCGGGUGAAACAGUGACUUAGUGGCGGACGGGUGAGUAACGCGUGGGUAACCUGCCUCAUACAGGGGGAUAACAGUUGGAAACGACUGCUAAAACCGCAUAAUAUGCGAGAGCCGCAUGGCUUUUGCAUCAAAUAUUUAUAGGUAUGAGAUGGGCCCGCGUCUGAUUAGCUAGUUGGUGAGGUAAUGGCUCACCAAGGCGACGAUCAGUAGCCGACUUGAGAGAGUGAUCGGCCACAUUGGGACUGAUACACGGCCCAAACUCCUACGGUGGCUG